rnacentral:lncRNA from 12 species
UGCACUCAUUACAUUUACAUCUUAUAAGUGUCUCUUUCCUUUUGGGAUGAGAGAAUUAGAAAUCUCAUGAUUAUUUAUUUUGGAAUUCUUUCUGGGUUUGCGUUAUGUUUUGUAUAUUAUAAACCCUGCAUCUAAACAAAAAGUGCUAAAAAUUAAAAUUGCACCACUUUGAUCAUAUUACCUUUCUCCCUACUGCUACCUCCAACUUUUGCCUUUCAUGAAUUCUAUAGAGUUCAGGUUCACGAUCUGUUGUUUUUAUGUUUCACCUGCUGUGAGGCCUUUCCUGAAACUUGACUAUGCGAACCAAGUUCAAUUAUAGGAGUUGUUGAUCCAAAGACAGAAGCUAGCAUAGCCAGUCACCCCCUCUUCUCCUCCUGUUUCUCUUUAGGGACCCAGGCUCCCCUGGUUCUGGCUGUGGCCCCUGCUAGGGUCUAGCCCAUGGAACUGCUCUCUCCUGGUUUGCUUCAUGUUCUGAACAGAAAGAGAUGGAUUGAUCACCUCAGUGAUGACAGAUUGUGUUCCAGGCAUGGUGCAAGAGACUGACAGAUAGAAAAACAUGCACCUUUUUCUGAUUGAGCCAACAGAAUAAGGAGCAAUAUGAAUAAGGAGAUUUCUAACCUUGAAAGUUAUUGGAAUGACAAUGAUUAUAUCCAGAAGUUAAAUACCUCAGAAAGGAGAUACUGUUUUACUACAUUUCGAAAAUUCCUAAUUCUACUUGUGGAUACUGCAUAGACCGUUAACUCAAAAAUUGCUUCAUCCACGGACUGGUGAGCCACACUGAUAUCUUAAGCAAAAAAUAAAUGCUAGCUUCUGAAUAAACA